AGUGAACGCUGGCGGUAGGCCUAACACAUGCAAGUCGAACGGCAGCACAGUAAGAGCUUGCUCUUACGGUUGGCGAGUGGCGGACGGGUGAGGAAUACAUCGGAAUCUACUUUUUCGUGGGGGAUAACGUAGGGAAACUUACGCUAAUACCGCAUACGACCUACGGGUGAAAGCAGGGGAUCUUCGGACCUUGCGCGAUUGAAUGAGCCGAUGUCGGAUUAGCUAGUUGGCGGGGUAAAGGCCCACCAAGGCGACGAUCCGUAGCUGGUCUGAGAGGAUGAUCAGCCACACUGGAACUGAGACACGGUCCAGACUCCUACGGGAGGCAGCAGUGGGGAAUAUUGGACAAUGGGCGCAAGCCUGAUCCAGCCAUACCGCGUGGGUGAAGAAGGCCUUCGGGUUGUAAAGCCUUUUUGUUGGGAAAGAAAAGCAGCAGGUUAAUACCCCGCUGUUCUGACGGUACCCAAAGAAUAAGCACCGGCUAACUUCGUG
rnacentral:rRNA from 1 species